CUUGGGGCUGUUCCAUUGAAGGUGUGACAUUUACAUGUGAACCGUAGUUUGCAGUAAUUCCGCUUGUGCUCGAGCAACUCGCCUAGGUCUGUAAACAUCUCUCUACAGUUGCCACAGAUCAGGAUAUCCGGAUUGCCUGUAACUGUAGACUUUCAAUUGGUUCAAAUCCGGAACGGUGGUCGUGUUCGCAGCUGGUUGCUGUUUCUGUUGUUUGGGAUGUUGCGAUCGAGCCGGUGGCAUCAGACGUGGUCUUUUCAAUGGUGGUGCCAAACGGGGUGGAAAAGCAGUCGACGCAUAGUAACUGAAAAUAAACUUGGAUACUGAGUGUCACAAGAUAUCCCGUUGCUGGGAACGAUGAAUAAUUGUUUCGAAGGCAACGCCAUUGCGUGAAU
rnacentral:misc_RNA from 1 species